UACGGAGGGUGCAAGCGUUAUCCGGAUUUAUUGGGUUUAAAGGGUGCGUAGGCGCCUUUUAAGUCAGUGGUGAAAUACUAGUGCUUAACACUAGAACUGCCAUUGAAACUAAAAGGCUCGAGUCAAGGAGAGGUAAGCAGAAUUUAUGGUGUAGCAGCGAAAUGCUUAGAUACCAUAAGGAAUACCAACAGCGAAGGCAGCUUACUGGCCUUGCACUGACGCUGAGGCACGAAAGCGUGGGGAGCAAACAGG
rnacentral:rRNA from 1 species